AUAUUAUAUUAAUUAAAUAAUCAACUAUAAUAACUAUGCCAAAAAUUAUGAAUUGGACAAUCCAGUGAGAUGGUACUUCAAAUAUCACACAGAAGAAUAUCAACAAAUAUUAUUGGAGGAAGAUGAAACUAGUACUGAUACUAAUAAUAUCGUCUCUAUGUCAUCAACUUCUUCAAAUUCACCUGAUUUAUUUCCACCAACAAAAAAAAGAAUGCACAGUGCGGAGAAAACAAUGAACGUGUCAAUAAAACGCCGGACAGUGAUUGACGGCUGUAUCAAAAUGGUCACAAUUAAUGGUAGACCCUUAAAUAUAAUAAAGGACUCUGGUAUUAGAAAAAUAGUAAUUUUCGUUAUUUUCGAAUUACUAUGAACGCUGAUUUUGUGCGCGAUCAUAUUUGUAGUCGGGCAAGUUUAGUCCGUAAAGCUAUUACUGAACAAAUGAAUAAAAAAUUUUUUUGUAUAAAAAUGGACACUGCAACUAGACUUGACCAUACUAUACUUGGCAUAAAUGUACAGUUUAUUCAUGAAGGUAGGUACCCACAAAUUAUAAAUAAAAAAUAUGAGAUUAUUAAUUACUAGCUAAAUAACUUGCCUUCAUGUGGACCAGUCUUAGUCAGGGCAUUUUUAAUAGAUUUUUAUCUCACCAUACAAUCGACAUUGUUAUUAUUAAAUAAUUACACAGUAUGCAUUAGUAAGGCACACUAAAAUAUUAUUUUUAUAUAAAUUGUAUACAUUUUCCUAUACUUGAGGUACAGCUUUCUGUAAUUCUGUAGAAUGUCUAGUUAUUCUAUAAAUUACGUAUAGUAGGGGAGACCGGGUACAAUUGUAAAUUUUUCAUGAAAUUAUUUAUUUCGGCCAAAAUUCAAACUUUUUUG
rnacentral:misc_RNA from 1 species